rnacentral:rRNA from 1 species
UACGUAGGUGGCAAGCGUUAUCCGGAAUUAUUGGGCGUAAAGCGCGCGCAGGUGGUUUCUUAAGUCUGAUGUGAAAGCCCACGGCUCAACCGUGGAGGGUCAUUGGAAACUGGGAGACUUGAGUGCAGAAGAGGAAAGUGGAAUUCCAUGUGUAGCGGUGAAAUGCGUAGAGAUAUGGAGGAACACCAGUGGCGAAGGUGACUUUCUGGUCUGUAACUGACACUGAGGCGCGAAAGCGUGGGGAGCAAACAGG